GUGCCAGCCGCCGCGGUAAGACGAAGGUGGCGAGCGUUGUUCGGAAUCAUUGGGCUUAAAGCGCACGUAGGCGGCUCUUCAAGUGUCUUGUGAAAUCCCCCGGCUCAACCGGGGAAUUGCUGGGCAUACUGUCGAGCUUGAGGCAGGUAUGGGCGAGUGGAACUCUUGGUGGAGCGGUGGAAUGCGUAGAUAUCAAGAGGAACGCCGGUGGUGAAGACGAUUCGCUGGGCCUGUCCUGACGCUGAGGUGCGAAAGCCAGGGGAGCAAACGGGAUUAGAAACCCGCGUAGUCC
rnacentral:rRNA from 1 species